AUUGAACGCUGGCGGCAUGCCUUACACAUGCAAGUCGAACGGCAGCAUGGAGAGCUUGCUCUCUGAUGGCGAGUGGCGAACGGGUGAGUAAAGCAUCGGAACGUACCGUGUAGUGGGGGAUAACGUAGCGAAAGUUACGCUAAUACCGCAUACGACCUGAGGGUGAAAGCAGGGGAUCGCAAGACCUUGCGCUAUACGAGCGGCCGACGUCAGAUUAGCUAGUUGGUAGGGUAAAGGCCUACCAAGGCGACGAUCUGUAGCGGGUCUGAGAGGAUGAUCCGCAACACUGGGACUGAGACACGGCCCAGACUCCUACGGGAGGCAGCAGUGGGGAAUUUUGGACAAUGGGGGCAACCCUGAUCCAGCCAUGCCGCGUGAGUGAAGAAGGCCUUCGGGUUGUAAAGCUCUUUCGGCCGGGAAGAAAUCGCACAGGCUAAUACCCUGUGUGGAUGACGGUACCGGCAUAAGAAGCACCGGCUAACUACGUGCCAGCCGCCGCCGUAA
rnacentral:rRNA from 1 species